GAUGAACGCUAGCGGCAGGCUUAACACAUGCAAGUCGAGGGGUAUGCUUCUUCGGGAGCAGAGACCGGCGCACGGGUGCGUAACGCGUAUGCAAUCUGCCUUUUACAGGGGGAUAGCCCAGAGAAAUUUGGAUUAAUACCCCAUGGUAUUAUAGGGUGGCAUCACCUUAUAAUUAAAGUCACAACGGUAAAAGAUGAGCAUGCGUCCCAUUAGCUUGUUGGUAGGGUAACGGCCUACCAAGGCUACGAUGGGUAGGGGUCCUGAGAGGGAGAUCCCCCACACUGGUACUGAGACACGGACCAGACUCCUACGGGAGGCAGCAGUGAGGAAUAUUGGUCAAUGGGUGCAAGCCUGAACCAGCCAUGCCGCGUGCAGGAUGACGGUCCUAUGGAUUGUAAACUGCUUUUGUACGGGAAGAAACACUCCUACGUGUAGGAGCUUGACGGUACCGUAAGAAUAAGGAUCGGCUAACUCCGUGCCAGCAGCCGCGGUAAAAC
rnacentral:rRNA from 1 species